rnacentral:rRNA from 1 species
CAGCCGCCGCGGUAAUACGAAGGGGGCUAGCGUUGUUCGGAAUAACUGGGCGUAAAGGGCGCGUAGGCGGAUCUUUAAGUCAGGGGUGAAAUCCCAAGGCUCAACCUUGGAACUGCCUUUGAUACUGGGGAUCUUGAGUCCGGGAGAGGUGAGUGGAACUGCGAGUGUAGAGGUGAAAUUCGUAGAUAUUCGCAAGAACACCAGUGGCGAAGGCGGCUCACUGGCCCGGAACUGACGCUGAGGCGCGAAAGCGUGGGGAGCAAACAGGAUUAGAUACCCCAGUAGUCCCUGUCUCUUAUAC